UCCGGUUUAUCACCGGCAGUCUCCUUUGAGUUCCCGACCGAAUCGCUGGCAACAAAGGAUAAGGGUUGCGCUCGUUGCGGGACUUAACCCAACAUUUCACAACACGAGCUGACGACAGCCAUGCAGCACCUGUCUCAUACUGCCCUAAGGCACCCCCGUAUCUCUACAGGGUUAUAUGGAUGUCAAGAGUAGGUAAGGUUCUUCGCGUUGCAUCGAAUUAAACCACAUGCUCCACCGCUUGUGCGGGCCCCCGUCAAUUCAUUUGAGUUUUAACCUUGCGGCCGUACUCCCCAGGCGGUCGAUUUAACGCGUUAGCUCCGGACGUCACAGCGCUAGGCCACAACCUCCAAAUCGACAUCGUUUACAGCGUGGACUAC
rnacentral:misc_RNA from 1 species